UUGUUUUGACAGCCUGUGUGGGCAGCAUCUCGGCUAAAGAAGAACAGAGUUUUAUUUUGCAAGGGACAUUGGGAAUGAGUCAGAACAGAACGCUUUCUCUAUUCAGUGGUUUUUCAGCUGCCCUUGUCAGUCCAUGCCCACAGCUUUCUCUUCUCAGCACUCUGAAAUAGCAUUCAAGUUCUCCUGUAUUAGAAACACCCCACUUGGCACUCAGUAAAAACAUUGGGGCCUUUGUUGUGAGUGAAGUAGCUUAGCAGGGAGGAAUGUGAAGUUUAUAAAUAAUUAGUCUCAGGUAACUUGAAAGUUCUUGCAGCUUCUUGAUCGGCAGUGGGGUUCGUUUGUCUUAACCUGCCUCCAAGUUGCCCACCGUUGUCCCAGGAGGACCUGACCGCAGCUCUCCUCUGCUCCACCUCAGCCUGCUGUUCUUCCUCCGCCUGCCUGCUCUCCCCAGCCUCUUGUCGGCCUGCUGUCGGCACCCGGUCCACCAGCUCCCAGCAAUUACCUCCACACUCCUGGUUCCUCAUUGUAUUUCCUAAAUAAACUGAAACUAACUACUUCA